rnacentral:rRNA from 1 species
GUGAGGAAUAUUGCGCAAUGGAGGCAACUCUGACGCAGCCAUGCCGCGUGCAGGAAGAAGGCGCUACGCGUUGUAAACUGCUUUUAACCGGGAAGAAACCCCAGGACGUGUCCUGGGUUGACGGUACCGGAGGAAUAAGCACCGGCUAACUUCGUGCCAGCAGCCGCGGUAAUACGAAGGGUGCAAGCGUUAUCCGGAUUCAUUGGGUUUAAAGGGUGCGUAGGCGGAGCGUUAAGUCAGUGGUGAAAUCCUGCAGCUUAACUGUAGACUUGCCAUUGAUACUGGCGCUCUUGAGUGCCCUUGAAGUGGGCGGAAUGUGCCGUGUAGCGGUGAAAUGCUUAGAUAUGGCACAGAACACCAAUUGCGAAGGCAGCUCACUAAGGCGAUACUGACGCUGAGGCACGAAAGCGUGGGGAUCGAACAGGAUUAGAAACCCCGGUAGUCC